UGCAAAGCUCUUUGAACGGCUCCAGAAGGGUCUCAUCUCGGAUCUUUCUGAUGACCAGGACGUUGAGUGGUGGUUUGCUCCAGGUAAGCCGCUGGCUGGCUGGAUCCUGAAUGUGCCUGCGGGGAAAGUCGACAGAGUAGGCAAACAUGGCAACUCUCAGCAGUGUCCUCAACUGAUUCAGAGGCUUCUGAUCCAGAAUGCUCAGGCAACCAAUGUGCACUUCCCCCCGGCAGGUGUCCUGGACAGUCUGGCCUCUGAAGAGACCUCUUCACUUCUUUGCGUCUCCUUGGAAGUUUCCCCUGCCGCUCCUGGUGCCUCUGUGAACGCUUCGAUGAACUACCCUCCUCCGCCUGUCUGGAGGGCAGCUCAUCUUCCAUGCCUUCGAUUCCUAUGGGGGACAAAAAAAAAAAAAAAGAUAACCAGAUAAUGUAAAUGAGUUGAGAAGACUUAAUUGGGGCUCCUCAUUAUGAGGCCACGGAAAAUGUUUCAAGGUUAAUAGCUCAUUGGUACCUAUAUUUCCAGGCAUAAUUGUUGUUGUUGAGGUUUUUCAAUACAUUAGCUAGUGUCCUGUUCAAUUACAUUUUUGUAUGAUCCAUUUUUACCAUGAUUUACAGAAAACAACCACUGAAUUUUCAGUCUUAACAAUCUUGUCAGAUAUUUACCACAAAAAUCAGAUUUAUUUAAAGACUAAUUAGUUUUAUCACCCAAUACUACUUUAUUCUAACUUUAUAUUUUUAAACUUUGCUACUAUCCCAUUUUGGUCAUUUGUCAGCAUUUUUUUUCACUUAUUCUUGUAUAUGGUUUAAUCUGCACAGGUACGAAUUAGUAAGUAUGUUGUUUAAAUUUUUACAUAAAUAUAAGUGUUACAUUUAAGGACAUUUCAACCACAUUUUGACAUUUUUUUUUAAUAAAUUAUAUAAGAUUUAUUUUAUUGCCAUAUUAACAUAAUUGUAAGAUUCUUAAAGCUGCAUUGCAUAUUUAAAAAUAAUUUGCCAUAUUGCAAAACAAUUCAACACAAAACAGGUGAUUUAAAAUUAUUAAAAAAGGGUAAAAAUAAAAAUAAAUAUGGCCACUAUCUUAAAUUAAUGCUGUAAACUAAAACCUUGAUGGUAAUAAAAACAAUUCCAUGGA